rfam:Schistosoma mattheei strain Denwood, Zambia genome assembly, scaffold: SMTD_scaffold0000596
AUCCGACUAACGAGUUUCAAAUAGGACGAAACCCGGGUUCUGUAU